AACGCUAGCUACAGGCUUAACACAUGCAAGUCGAGGGGCAGCAUGAAUAUUGGCUUGCCAAUAUUUGAUGGCGACCGGCGCACGGGUGAGUAACACGUAUCCAACCUUCCGGUUACUCGGGGAUAGGCUUUCGAAAGAAAGAUUAAUACCCGAUGUUGUGUAUCUUUCUCCUGAAAGAUACGCCAAAGGAUUCCGGUAACCGAUGGGGAUGCGUUCCAUUAGGCAGUUGGCGGGGUAACGGCCCACCAAACCUUCGAUGGAUAGGGGUUCUGAGAGGAAGGUCCCCCACAUUGGAACUGAGACACGGUCCAAACUCCAUACGGGAGGCAGCAGUGAGGAAUAUUGGUCAAUGGACGGAAGUCUGAACCAGCCAAGUAGCGUGAAGGAUGACUGCCCUCUGGGUUGUAAACUUCUUUUAUACGGGAAUAACAUGAGGUACGCGUACCUUAUUGCAUGUACCGUUAUGAAUAAGCAUCGGCUAACUCCGUGCCAGCAGCCGCGGUAAUACGGAGGAUGCGAGCGUUAUCCGGAUUUAUUGGGUUUAAAGGGAGCGUAGGUGGGAUAUUAAGUCAGUUGUGAAAGUUUGGGGCUCAACCUUAAAAUUGCAGUUGAUACUGGUUUCCUUGAGUACGGUACAGGUGGGCGGAAUUCGUGGUGUAGCGGUGAAAUGCUUAGAUAUCACGAAGAACUCCGAUCGCGAAGGCAGCUCACCGGGCCGGAACUGACACUGAUGCUCGAAAGUGCGGGUAUCAAACAGGAUUAGAUACCCUGGUAGUCCGCACAGUAAACGAUGAAUACUCGGCUGUUUGCGAUACACUGUAAGCGGCCAAGCG
rnacentral:rRNA from 1 species